AAUAUUCAAUCUGCGGACGGAACCAUUUCGUCCUUUGUGUACUCAUCAGCGCAGUUUAAACCAGUGAAUAUUGUAUUUAAUUAUUUAAAGAUUCCCCAAAGGCAGUUCGCCUGUUGCUGCCAGUCUGUCCUUUGCAAGUUUCUGCAUUAUUUCAGUUGCCCAGAGUAGCCGAGAUUAUCGCAGCAGAGAUCCGUGCGGGAGUGAGCUCAUCCUUUUCUCCUCGAUCAGUGCGAUUCUUUUCCGUCCUCACAUCUCCUUUCGUUCAGUUUUGCAGGUGAAGUCAUUGCGAUCUGCAUCUUCAGCCCCAAGGGGCGAUGGGACACCAGCUCAUGCUGGCCCUGCAGCUGCUGCAGCUGCUGAUGCUUUUGCACUACAUCGAUGGCUAUGCGUUACCACAAACCACUUUCACCAGUUACGAGUGUAAGAAUGAUUGCUCAGAAAGAAAGCCGGAAGUAUACU